rnacentral:tRNA from 1 species
GGCCGGAUGGUGUAGUGUAAGCAAUGUCAACUCCUACCGAUUUACAGUUAUUAAUUCAAGUUCAGUGGUUAUCACGUGUCCUUAACAACCAUAUCGGACAAGGUCGGGAGUUCGAGCCUCCCUCUGGUCA